rnacentral:rRNA from 1 species
AUGGUGCACUACGAUGAGAGUGAGGCCACCGCCAAAUGCCACGGCGGCGACGAGGUGGCCGUGACGUUCACGUCCACCGUGGUGCCGGCGCUGCCGCUGCAGGAGCACCGCCUGCCGCUCUCCAACCUCGACCUCAUCCUGCCCCCCAUCGACGUCAGCGUCUUCUUCUGCUACGCCGCCGGCGACGACUACGCCGCAGCUGGUACAGGUAGCCACCCCGCGCCGACCCUGAAGGCGGCGCUGGCCAAGGUGCUGGUGGCGUACUACCCGCUCGCCGGCGAGGUCGUGGCCAACGCCGCGGGGGAGCCGGAGCUGCUGUGCAGCGGCCGCGGCGUCGACUUCGCCGAGGCGGCCGCGGACGGCGUCGAGCUGCGGGAGCUGCGGCUCGGCCUGCCGGACGAGAGCGUCGAGGGGCUGGUGCCCAAGAAGAAGUCCGGGGUCAUGAGCGUGCAGGUGACCAAGUUUAAGUGCGGCGGCGCCGUCGUCGGCUGCACGUUCGACCACCGUGUCUGCGACGCCUACUCCUUCAACAUGUUCCUCGUCGCGUGGGCCGCCGCGGCCCGGGGCACGUCCAUCCCGCUGCCCCCGUCCUUCAACCGUUCAUUCCUCGCGCCGAGCAGCCCGCCUCCGUCGUGCACCGCCGGCACCCUCGCCGACCGCCUCUUCCUCCCCGUCAGCCUCGUGCCACCGCCGCCAGCCACAGCGGCACCACCCACAGCUUUCAACCGCAUCUACCACGUGGCCGCCGCCGAUGUCGCCGCGCUGCAGGCCUCGGCGGGACCCGGGCGCACGAAGCUGGAGGCGUUCACGGCCCACCUGUGGCAGCUCUACUCCAGGGCGGCGACGCCGCGGCAGGACUCGUGCUGCAUGGGCGUCGUUGUCGACGGGCGCGGCCGCUUGUGCCCCGACGGCGCCAUGAGGCCCUACUUCGGCAACGUGCUGACCAUCCCCUACGGCGCGUUCGGCGCCGCCGACCUGCGCGACAUGGCGCUCGCGGACGUGGCGGAGGACGUGCACCGAUGGGUGGCGGAGGCGGCGACGGGCGAGCAUUUCCAGGGGCUGGUCGACUGGGUGGAGGCGCAGCGACCCGAGCCCACGGUGGCGAGGGCUUACAUAGGCGGCGGCGACGACGACGGCGGCGAGGGGGAGACGGCCUCGUGCGUGGUGUCGUCGGGACUGAGGCUCCCGUUCGGCGAGGUGGACUUCGGGUGGGGCCGUCCGGCGUUCGCGUCGUACCACUUCCCGUGGCCCGGCGGCGCCGGGUACGUGAUGCCGAUGCCGAGCGCGCGCGGGGGCGGGGACUGGGUGGUGUACGUCCACGCGGCGCCGGAGGUGGUGAAGGUGAUGGAGGAGGAGCCGACGGUGUUCAGAGCCCCGGUGAGCAGCGACAUAUUCGGGUGA